GUGGUUUGUCCUUGUAUAACUGCUGAGCUGAGAAGUGCUGCCAUCCUGGACACUACACAGACUGAUGCUGGUUCCUGCCGACAGGUCCUGUCGAGUGCUCAGGGUCCCUGUGUGAUGGUCCCACACAAA